UUCAAACAAGGUAGCCUACUUCAGAUGACCCACAGAUGAAAAUCAAAGCCCGACAGAUGCAGCUGUCGAUUCUAUCUAAUUUUUCCAACAUACAGAAGACCAACAACAACAACUACCCAGUAUACUCCCACCAGUAGACGAGCCUUACCCUUACCCGAAAGGGCAGAGAGGCUGUUUCCAAUCGACCCUCGGCGCAUAGGAUAAACAACAUACAGAAGACCAAAAUCAGGAAUACCUAGCUGAAAGGCCCCUUGUCUGACAUCCAUAAUGAAAAAAGAUAUUUCAACCCGUUCAACGUGUUAAUCACUUAGAUGAGCCUCAAACAAUGUUGAAAAUUUAAUAAGAAAAUUGGUAAUUAGCACCAAAAUUCUGAACAUUCUUUAAGGUCAUGUGGAUAAUUCCGUCCAUGAGCUAACAGGACUCGAUGAACGUUUAUCAACAUUAUGAGUAACAGGUGAGCAGUAUGAAAGAAAGACUCCAUGGGAAGGAAACAUCAUAUUAUGGACUGACUUAUAGAACAAAUAAACCUUAUUUAUAAAGCAUAAAGUGUACUGGAUCACCACUUCCAACCGAGAGGUUGUGAGUUCGAGUCUUCCCAAGAGCAAGGUGGGAAGUUCUUGGAGGGAAGGAUGCCGGGGGUCUAUUUGGAAACAGCCUCGAGUCUUCCCAAGAGCAAGGUGGGAAGUUCUUGGAGGGAAGGAUGCUGGGGGUCUAUUUGGAAACAGCCUCUCUACCUAAGGUAAGGGGUAAGGUCUGCGUACACACUACCCUCCCCAUACCCCACUAAGUUGGAUUAUACUGGGUUGUUGUUGUUGUUGUAAAGUGUACUGGACCAGUACGAAGAAGAGUACGAACCAUAUCUUUGCUUAAUUCAGGUUCUAAUGAGGGCUGCAAUUGCGAAAUCUC
rnacentral:lncRNA from 1 species